rnacentral:sRNA from 1 species
UGGGCAGCCCUGGAAGCCAAAGGCCACUGUUUAUGCCCAGAACAGGCACAACACGGCCCUGGCCGUGCAAGCUUCCCACAAUGCACCCUGCUUCUGCCUUGAACCGUAGGGGCCGUGUCUAGGGAUGAGGAGGGUUCUGUGCAGUUCUCUCUCCAGGGCUGGCUGCU